GAAGUAGGCUAGACAGCCGCUGGUCGUAUAUUGAAAACUAUAUGGCGGGAGGAAGGUCCGGACUCCAUAGAGCAGGGUGACGGUUAAUUGCCGUCCGCCGUGAGGCGAGGAAUAGGGCCACAGAGACGAGCGUAUUAGGUUACGGUGAAACGCGGUAACCUCCACCCGGAGCAAUUCCAAAUAGGCACGCGUUGAUGUUGCUCGCGGAGCGUGCGGGUAGGAAGCUUGAGUGCUGGAGCAAUUCAGCGCCUAGAAGGAUGGCUGUCAUAAUGAUCGGGCGCAAGUCUUAUUGUCGUAACAGAAUCCGGCCUAUCGGCUUACUUCGUUU
rnacentral:RNase_P_RNA from 1 species